rnacentral:rRNA from 1 species
UGGGGAAUUUUCCGCAAUGGGCGCAAGCCUGUCGGAGCAAUACCGCGUGAGGGAGGAAGGCUUUUGGGUUGUAAACCUCUUUUCUCAAGGAAGAAGUCCUGACGGUACUUGAGGAAUCAGCAUCGGCUAACUCCGUGCCAGCAGCCGCGGUAAUACGGAGGAUGCAAGCGUUAUUCGGAAUUACUGGGCGUAAAGGGCGCGUAGGCGGUCUGUUGCGUCAGGUGUGAAAGCCCCGGGCUCAACCUGGGAGGUGCACUUGAUACGGGCGGACUGGAAUCCGGGAGAGGAUGGUGGAAUUCCCAGUGUAGAGGUGAAAUUCGUAGAUAUUGGGAAGAACACCGAUGGCGAAGGCAGCCAUCUGGCCCGGUAUUGACGCUGAGGCGCGAAAGCGUGGGGAGCAAACAGGAUUAGAUACCCCCGUAGUCC